rnacentral:rRNA from 1 species
UGGUUCAGGUUGUCUGUGUGUACGACACGCUUUCUUUGAGUCGAGUUGUUUGGGAAUACAGCUCAAAGCAGGUGGUAAAUUCCAUCUAAAGCUAAAUAUUGGUGCGAGACCGAUAGCGAACAAGUACCGUGAGGGAAAGAUGAAAAGAACUUUGAAAAGAGAGUUAAAGAGUACCUGAAACUGUUGAAAGGGAACCGUAUCGUUUCUAGUGUGUAUCCUAUGCAUAUUUCAUUGGCGGUUGCAAAAUUGCUGGUGCCCUGUGUAUGGGUGUGACGUCAGAGUCAGUUUGAAUUGCGGGAGAUGGGUAGUGAGGAGGUGCGUCACUUUUGUGAAAGUUACAGCUCGCUAUCUAGUAGCCGUGGUUUAGACUGAGGUGCCUACAACAUGCUUUGGGGUGUAUUAUUUUGUCGUGUUAUACGUUGUUUGGAUAGCUUGCUAUGCUGAUGAUUUAUGAUGCGAGAGAGUAAUAUGAACCUCUGCUGUUCGGGACUUUGGCGAAAUGGAGCGAUACGACCCGUCUUGAAACACGGACCAAGGAGUCUAACAUGUGUGCAAGUAUUAGGGUGUGGAAACCCAAAUGCGUAAUGAAAGUAAAGGGCACUUAUGUGUCUUAGGUAGGAAGGAGCUGUAAUGGUUCUGGCACUAUCGACCGAUCAUGAACCUCCGGGUGAAAGAUUUGAGUAUGAGCAUAUAUGUUGGUACCCGAAAGAUGGUGAACUAUGCCUGAAUAGGGUGAAGCCAGGGGAAACUCUGGUGGAAGCUCGUAGCGAUUCUGACGUGCAAAUCGAUCGUCAAAUUUAGGUAUAGGGGCGAAAGACUAAUCGAACCAUCUAGUAGCUGGUUCCCUCCGAAAUUUCCCUCAGGAUAGCAGCAACUUUUUACGAUAGUUUUAUGAGGUAAAGCGAAUGAUUAGAGGCCUCGGGGAAGAAACUUCCUCG